AUUCUGUUCCCACCACAUUCUCUGCAUUGCACAGUGGAAAAGCGAAGACAUUUAACUUCUGCUGUGGACUGGGAACUUCAGAUGCUAAAAAACAGAUCAAAGACUGUGCUUUGGUUUAGUCUGAGGAUGAAACAGUGGCAGCUCAACAAUGAGUUUUUGGACACUGAGUGAGAAGUCUCUGGUGUUCUGGACAGAGCUCCUCAAGAUUGGAUGAAGUUAACAGAUUUGGAGGUAGUAGUUUUAAGAGGAAUUAGGUCUUGUCAUGAGAAGAAUCACUAAGAUGGUGCAAUAAGGACUUGAUUCUGCAUCCUUGUGCAAGUACAUACCAUUGACCAAGAUCACUGGGCAGCCAAUCUUAAUGACAUCUCAGAAGAGUUGGAUUGUAAGGACUUGGAGCCACAAUUUUUACUAAAUGACUCUUGAAAUAUAAUUUUGCAUUUUA